rnacentral:rRNA from 1 species
GACGAACGCUGGCGGCGUGCUUAACACAUGCCAGUCGAACGGAAAGGCCCUGCUUUUGUGGGGUGCUCGAGUGGCGAACGGGUGAGUAACACGUGAGUAACCUGCCCUUGACUUUGGGAUAACUUCAGGAAACUGGGGCUAAUACCGGAUAGGAGCUCCUGCUGCAUGGUGGGGGUUGGAAAGUUUCGGCGGUUGGGGAUGGACUCGCGGCUUAUCAGCUUGUUGGUGGGGUAGUGGCUUACCAAGGCUUUGACGGGUAGCCGGCCUGGGAGGGUGACCGGCCACAUUGGGACUGAGAUACGGCCCAGACUCCUACGGGAGGCAGCAGUGGAGAAUAUUGCACAAUGGGCGGAAGCCUGAUGCAGCAACGCCGCGUGGGGGAUGACGGCCUUCGGGUUGUAAACCGAUUUCGCCUGUGACGAAGCGUGAGUGACGGUAAUGGGUAAAGAAGCACCGGCUAACUACGUG